GCGGAUGUAGCUCAGUUGGUAGAGCGUCACCUUCCCAAGGUGAAUGUCGUGAGUUCGAACCUCAUUAUCCGCU
rnacentral:tRNA from 1 species